GAAUUAAAAUGAAAAUUUUCUGCAGUGAGCUCCCAGCAUGUUAUUCUAUAGAAUAACAUGCUGGGAGCUCACUGCAGAACAUUUUCAUUUUAAGGAAU